UGUAUUCGAUAAUGGAGCAGUUUUAGUGGGAUGAACUACAUGAUUUUUCAUUAAAAUUUAUGAUGUUACUCGGCCAUCAGAAGGCAUGAGAUCAAUUCACAAUAUUUCUUAAAAUCUUUUUCAUGGUAUUGUUGUUGCAAUAUCAAAUUUGAGGCAUGAAAAAUUUUAAGUGUCUUUUUCAUUAUGUCCUCAUCAUUUAUAGUUUUUCCUCAUAAUAUCAGUUGGGAAACAAUCUUGAAUACAACUAAUUUAUAUUCAAUUAUGAUUUUAAAAUCUUAAAAUUGUAAGUAUAUCCACUUGUAACGAUUUCUUGAAAAUACCGUGGCCUUUAGUCGGUCAUACCUUCCUUUUAAAUCGAUCCACAAUUUAAAUGGAUCUUUCACUGUUAGAUAUUCAACCUCCAAUCCUUCAUCCAUAUGAUGAUAAAGGAAAAUUAUAGCCUUGACUUUAUCCUAACUCGAUGUUGCAUUAUUCAAGGUAAUAGUAGCAUCAAAAUCAUGAAUAACUAGGUAAAUUUCAUCAUCAAUAAUUCAUUACAAAUAAUUUUUCCGAAGUCUAUCAUAGAAUGAAUUAUUCUCAUGAUGUUAGUUUCUUUAUAAUAAAUAGUAAAUUAAUGUUUCAAAUGAAACUAUAAUAUGAGUAGUUUAUAAAUCAUAUGCAGGAAAAUAGAAGUUUAUAAAAAUAUGUUGACUUAUGAAAUAACGAAAUUUCCAAUAAAGAUAUUUUUCUAAUUGUUCUAAAAUAUUUAUCAAUUAGUUUCAAUAGAUAUCAACGCCACAGUUUGUAAGAAUUUUAAGUCUUAAUUAAUAUAAAAUUCAUCUUUCGUAUGACACACAAUGAUAAUCAUAAAUGUAUGACAGAAAAUAAUUAAAGUAUUCUAACUAGCUUGCUAUUAUAUUGUAUAAUAUUUAAUUCAGAAUUAUAUAUAAGUUAUAGGACACAUAAUAACAUAAUAAUUUAAACAUGAAACAUAACAAUUAUCAUGCAAAUUUAAGUAUUAUAAUAAUACCUAAAACUACUCAUGUAUGCAGUAAUUAAAUUAUAGAUUGAUGACUUACGAAGAUCCUAAUAGAGAUAUUAUCAAUCUAGGAGUGCAUAGCUAAAUCAAAAAGAAAAUUGACUACCAUUUAUAAAAAGAGAUGAUUCUGGUUUAAAUGGAUCACAACUGGUUAAAGACACAUAUUGAUAGUGUAUUUUAAAAUGAGACACAAAUAUAAAUACUAAACAAUAAACGAAGACAAGAGUUAUGAUAGAGAUUGUUUAUUUCUUGCAUUCUUCUACAUCUUUUGAUUGUGUCUUUCCUGAAUAAUGAUCGCCUAUUUAUAGAAUAAAAUGACUUCUCACGUUACAAGAAUUAAAUGUGUUUAUUCAUUCAGUAUAAGAAUGUCAAAGAGAGUUAUAAAAGAGACAACUACAUUCAACAACAGGCAUUACGAGAGGACAUCCAUAUUCAAUGCAUUUAUAAUAUUUUUUAAAAUUUAAUUUAUAAAGAAAAAUUAAAAUAAAAAAUAAUGCAAUAAAUGAUCAGAAGUCAAAAACAUUGUAGAGUAAUUUAAAAAAGGAGAAAUAAAAAAGAAAAAUUUGAGAUGCACAAAUAAAAUUAAGAAAAAAUGGAGUGUAAGAGAAGCAAAUAAAAUUGACGUGGUGAAAAAAGAAAAACUCUCCGUCAUUGGCGCGAGGUUCAUCUCAGACAACCUACAAAUCUCGACUCAAUAAUUACUAGCUUAUUUGGCGCACAUCGUCUCACCAUGUUGCGAAGGUAACCCUAAUCAAAAUCUAAACUUCUACACUUACCAGUUCAUAACUUUUAUUCAUUGAUUAGGUUUUAACAACACAAAAUUAGACUUAUUAUUUUGGAGUAUUCAAAAUCUCACAAUCUUGCAAUAAAAUUAAAAAUUUUCUUUUCUGAAUAAUAAAACAACAUAAGAAAAAACAUAAAUAAAACAACAACAUAUCAAUUUCUUCAAUAAAUUGAUCAAACUUUAGUUUUGAUCUCUAAAGAAGUUUUCAACUUUCAAAUGAGUAAUAUCAUCAAGGCUAUCAAAAUUAUCAUCUUUCAAAGUCAAAUUCAACUCGACAUUAUUAUCAUAUUUUUGUGAAGGCUCUAUCUCAUCAUCACUUUUAAAAGUCAAAUGUGACUCCAUUCGGACACUCGAAGAGGCCUCACCUUCAUUUUUUUUUAAAGGAAUGUUGAUAAACUUAGCAAAAUUCUUAGGCGUCCAACAUUUUUUCGAUGUCUUUUAGGUCAUAAUGAUGAUAAUAGACUUUUGAAUGAUUGCUUUGGGAGCUCAUUUGGCUCUCUCUAUUAUGAUUAUUACCAUCACAGUGAUUAUUAUGUCGUCCCCUGCAAUUGCCAUGCCUAUGUACAUUAUUCUAACCCCAAUUUUGUCUUUUUCCAGACUGACCAUAUUCUUCUAUCUCUCUUUUUUUUCUUUUUAUAAUGGAGCAGUUUCAGUGGAGCGAACUACAUGAUCUUUCAUUAAAAAAGUAUUAUGUUGCUCAGCCAACAGAAGACAUGAGAUUAAUUCAGAAUAUUUGUGAAUUUUUUUUAUGAUAUUAUUGUUGCAAUAUCACUUUUGAGGCAUGAAAAUAAUGUCUUUUCCACCAUGUUCUCGUCAUUUAUAGUUUUUUCUUAUAAUUUGAGUUGGGAAAC
rnacentral:lncRNA from 1 species